UACGUAGGGGGCGAGCGUUGUCCGAAGUUACUGGGCGUAAAGAGCUCGUAGGUGGUUUGUCGCGUUGUUCGUGAAAACCGGGGGCUUAACCCUCGGCGUGCGGGCGAUACGGGCAGACUUGAGUACUGCAGGGGAGACUGGAAUUCCUGGUGUAGCGGUGGAAUGCGCAGAUAUCAGGAGGAACACCGGUGGCGAAGGCGGGUCUCUGGGACGGUACUGACGCUGAGACGCGAAGGCGUGGGGAGCGAACAGG
rnacentral:rRNA from 1 species